UAGGGAAUCUUCCACAAUGGACGAAAGUCUGAUGGAGCAACGCCGCGUGAGCGAAGAAGGUUUUCGGAUCGUAAAGCUCUGUUGUGAGGGAAGAACAAGUACGGGAGUAACUGCCCGUACCUUGACGGUACCUCAUUAGAAAGCCACGGCUAACUACGUGCCAGCAGCCGCGGUAAUACGUAGGUGGCAAGCGUUGUCCGGAAUUAUUGGGCGUAAAGCGCGCGCAGGCGGGCCUUUAAGUCUGAUGUG
rnacentral:rRNA from 1 species